UACGAAGGGGGCUAGCGUUGUUCGGAAUUACUGGGCGUAACGCGCGUGUAGGCGGGUCUUUAAGUCAGGGGUGAAAUGCCAAGGCUCAACCUUGGAACUGCCUUUGAUACUGGGGAUCUCGAGUCCGGGAGAGGUGAGUGGAACUGCGAGUGUAGAGGUGAAAUUCGUAGAUAUUCGCAAGAACACCAGUGGCGAAGGCGGCUCACUGGCCCGGAACUGACGCUGAGGUGCGAAAGCGUGGGGAGCAAACAGG
rnacentral:rRNA from 1 species